UACGUAGGGUCCGAGCGUUGUCCGGAAUUACUGGGCGUAAAGAGCUCGUAGGUGGUUUGUCGCGUCGGGAGUGAAAACGCCGGGCUUAACUCGGUGCUUGCUUUCGAUACGGGCAGACUGGAGGUAUGCAGGGGAGAACGGAAUUCCUGGUGUAGCGGUGAAAUGCGCAGAUAUCAGGAGGAACACCGGUGGCGAAGGCGGUUCUCUGGGCAUUACCUGACGCUGAGGAGCGAAAGUGUGGGGAGCGAACAGG
rnacentral:rRNA from 1 species